rnacentral:rRNA from 1 species
CGUGAGAUGUUGGGUUAAGUCCCGCAACGAGCGCAACCCUCGCCCUGUGUUGCCAGCACGUCGUGGUGGGAACUCACGGGGGACCGCCGGGGUCAACUCGGAGGAAGGUGGGGAUGACGUCAGAUCAUCAUGCCCCUUACGUCCAGGGCUUCACGCAUGCUACAAUGGCCGGUACAACGGGAUGCGACACCGCGAGGUGGAGCGGAUCCCUUAAAACCGGUCUCAGUUCGGAUUGGAGUCUGCAACCCGACUCCAUGAAGUCGGAAGUCGCUAGUAAUCG